AGUGAACGCUGGCGGCGUGCCUAAUACAUGCAAGUCGAACGAAGUGGCGCACGGGUGAGUAAUAUAUAGUUAAUCUGACCUACACAGAGGAACCACAGUUGGAAACGACUGCUAAUAACUCAUAGUGUAGGAUGCGACUAUAACGUAUCAGCUAGUUGGUAAGGUAAUGGCUUACCAAGGCUAUGACGCGGAACUGGUCUGAGAGGAUGAUCAGCCACAUUGGAACUGAGACACGGUUGAAACUCCUUCGGGAGGCAGCAGUAAGGAAUAUCGCGCAAUGGGGGAAACCCUGACGCAGCAACGCCGCGUGGAGGAUUACACUUUUCGUAGCGUAAACUCCUUUUAUCAGGAAAGCGGUACCUGAUGAAUAAGCACCGGCUAACUCCGGGCCAGCAGCCGCGGUAAUAC
rnacentral:rRNA from 1 species